rnacentral:rRNA from 1 species
CGGACAGAUGGGAGCUUGCUCCCUGAUGUUAGCGGCGGACGGGUGAGUAACACGUGGGUAACCUGCCUGUAAGACUGGGAUAACUCCGGGAAACCGGGGCUAAUACCGGAUGCUUGUUUGAACCGCAUGGUUCAAACAUAAAAGGUGGCUUCGGCUACCACUUACAGAUGGACCCGCGGCGCAUUAGCUAGUUGGUGAGGUAACGGCUCACCAAGGCAACGAUGCGUAGCCGACCUGAGAGGGUGAUCGGCCACACUGGGACUGAGACACGGCCCAGACUCCUACGGGGAGGCAGCAGUAGGGAAUCUUCCGCAAUGGACGAAAGUCUGACGGAGCAACGCCGCGUGAGUGAUGAAGGGUUUUCGGGAUCGUAAAGCUCUGUUGUUAGGGAAGAACAAGUACCGUUCGAAUAGGGGCGUACCUUGAACGGGUACCUACC